UUGGAAGUUAGGAUUCAGCAAGCAAAUCCAAGUCCAGAAAGGAAAGAGGUUUUUUCUAUAAGUUCUAGGAAAGUAAUCUUUCAAGAUCUGUUAGGAUUUUGUCUACUAGGUUUAGGAGUCCUAAAACCUUAUUGUAUCAGCAGCCCCUAUUCACUAGAAAUAGGAGCUGCAGGGGGUUUUCUAAGGUUAAGAUAGAGAGCACAGAAAACCGAGAGCUAAGGGUGAUAGAGAGAUCUAGCAGGGAGUUGGGGAUUAGCAUAGGGAUUUCAAUAAGUACUUGUAAUCAGGUUGUUAUUCUCCAUAGUGCUAGUGAUCUCUCAAGAGAGAUCACAUAAGUGGACGUAGGCCAGGGUUUUUGGCUGAACCACUAUAAAAUUGUGUGUUCUGUGUUUCUAUCUUCAAGUUCAUCUAUCUACUUUGCUUAAGUCGUAAAGUACCAGUAAAGACCAGAAAAGAUCCUAGGGCGCUAACCACAAUAAGUGGUAUCAGAGCUUCGGCUCUGGUACUUUGCGAUGGUAGACAGCAAAGGCAUGGUCGAAGCAGAAGAUGUGAAAUCGUUCAUUAAACCCUUAAAUGGCAAGGAUGACUUCACGCUUGGCGGAGGAGGAUGAAGAGUGUCCUGAUUCUACAAGAUCUGUACGAGGCUGUUCUCGGGAUAGAGAAUAAGGCAGUUGAUAUGGCAGAUAAGGUUUGGCAGAAGAUGGACAAGAAGGCAAGGAGCACAAUAGAGUUGCAUCUUGCAGAUCAUGUACUGGGUCGUGUAUUGGAUAGUGGAGGUGACAAUAUGAGCAGCAAAGAGACCUGGGAUUAUCUUGAGAAGGUUUAUGCGGGUAAGGGUCCUAUUGGUGAGAAUAUGGACAGCAACAAGACAUUGGACAAUGUCAAGGAGGCUGACGCAGAUAAAUUCUUCUUGAAGAAAAACUCUAUAGUCUUCGGAUGGAAGAAGGCAGGGAUCUGCAGGAACAUCUGAAUAAAUUUCAGAUUUGUGUUGCCAAUUUAUCAGAGGUGGAUGUGCAAUAUGAAGAAGAGGAUAAAGGACUUAUGCUGCUAACAUCUUUACCAGCUUCAUACCAGCAGUUCAUCACCACACUCGUUUCCGGUAAGGAUUCUCUCAAGUACGAUGAGAGUACCGAAGCUAUUCAAUCUUAUAUUAAGACGAGUAGCGAGACCGAGAGCUCUCAAGGAGGCCUUCAAGUCAAGGGCAAGGAGACAAGUCAGUUGACCAGUAAAAAGGAUAAAUCUAGUAACAAGGGUACAACAAAAUCCAAGAAGAAGUACAAGGAAGGUUGCUUCAAAUGUGAUGCUGCAGACCACUUGAAAAGAAACUACAAAGAAGGGAGGAUGGAAGCACAGGUGACGGCAAGGAGUUCAAGUACAGCCAACAUAGUCAUCAGAAAAGAUGAAGAUGAUUGUGAACUUCUUGUGGUAACGUCCAGCUCCAACGCUUUCAGAGAUUGGAUUUUGGAUACCGGUUGUACAUUCCACAUGUGUGCAAUCCGAGAAUGGUUUGACACAUUUGAGGAGAGUAGCAGCGGAGAAGUUUUCCGGGGAGAUGACUCACAGUGUAGGAUCCUAGGUAUUGGAUCAGUGAAAAUCAGAAUGCAUGACAGAGUUGUUAGAAAGCUGGAGAAUGUCAGAUAUAUUCCUAAGUUAAGGAAGAACUUGAUAUCUUUGGGUACUUUGGACAAGGCCGGUCAUAGGUAUAGCUCUAAAGAAGGAAGACUAAAAGUUAUCAAGGGAUCACUUGUUGUGAUGAAGGGCGACAUUCAACCUAACAACGUGUACAAGCUUAAAGGGACUACCAUAAUAGGUGGAGUUGCAAUGUCUACUGAGGUAAAUGACAAGACUGAGCAAUGGCAGCAAGGCCUACGGCGCAUGAGUACAAAGAGGAAUGCAGGAACUCUACGAAGGAAAGUAAGGCAGAAGGUGUUGGUGUUUGCAAACUGAACUUCUGCAAGGAUGGUACUCUUGGGAAGCAGAAGGUGGCAUUCAAGUUGGUAGAUUGUGAGAACAAAAGCAAACGAUUGCUGGAUUAUAUUCACUCAGAAGUAUGGCGCGCAAAUCAAGUAAGGCGUAUGGGAGGCUUCAAGUACCUUGUUACUUUUCUAGAUGAUUUUUCAAGGAAGAUUUGGGCCUACUUUAUGAAGGAGAAAUCCGAGGUUCUCUUCAAGGUCAAGAAAGGGAAAAGCAAAGUAGGAAAUCUAGAAGGCAGAAAAAUCAAGUAUUUGAGAAGCAACGGUGGCAGUGAAUAUAGAAUGAAAGGGUUCUUACGGUUUUACAAGGAUGAAAUCACAAGGUGCAUCACGGUGAAAGAUAAUCUCCAGGAAAACGGGGCUGCUAGAAGGAUGAAGAAAACUUUUUUUGAGAAAGAAAGAGGCAUGCCGCUGCAUGCUGGGUUACCAGACACAUUUUGGAAAGAAGCAGUUAACCAUGCGUGUUAUUUGGUUAAUCGGUCACCAUCAAAGGUCUUGGACUUCAAGUGUGCAGAGGAGAUAUGGUCAAGAGAACCAGCUGGGUAUUCUAACUUAAGGAUGUUUGGUAGCAGUGCGUAUGCUCAUAUUUCGAGCAAUGAGCAAACCAAACUCAAGCCAAAUUUUCUAGGUGUUGAGAAAGGAGUAAAGGGCUACAAGUUAUGGAAUAUUGUCAGCAAGAAAAGGGUUCUAAGUAGAUAUGUUAUUGAUGAUAAGACUAUGCCGUUUAAUGAAGUAAAGACAAGUGAGGUGAAGACGAAGACUGAUGUUGGUGUUGUAGAUGAAGCAACAGAAGUUCCUCUAACCAAAGAGAUCAUGGAAGAGACUCCAGCUCAGGUGGAGCAAAUUGAGCAGGUGGAGCAAAUUGAGCAGGUGGAGCAUGAUAAAGGGGUUAUCGAGAUAGAAGUCUUAGAGCGGCAACAACAGUCACUAAUACAAGCUCAGGUGGAGCAAUUAGCACUGCGAACCUACGACUCAGUUCGUCAGUCGCUUGAGCAGGAGUUCCAGAGAAGCAUAGCAUUGGACAAGUAUGCUCUAAGUUUCAGUCCAGGAGAUCCAACCACGUAUCAGGAAGCUAUAGCAAAAAUAUAUACGGGAAAGUUGGAUGGGAGCUAUGUUAGAACAGAAGAAGAAGUCCAUACCAAAGGACUUGGUUCAGGAGUCGGUUCCUAAACCCAAAGAAGGAAAUCUGGUUGGCUGUAAAUGGGUUUAUAGGAAAAGGGAAGAAAUGCAUGAUAAGGAAGUCAUGAGUUGCAAAGCUCGGGUAUUGGCUAAGGAGUAUGCGUAUAAAGAAAAGGUCAAUUAUGACAAAAUCUCACCAGCAGAUAGAUGCGCUUAUUAUCAUGUGUUCAAGGAUAGCAUGAUUUUACUAUCAGGUGAUGUGUUAACUACAUGUCAGGAUGUGUCUAGAAUUCCAAAGUUAAAGACACAACUAAGGAGGGAAUUCGACAUGAAGGGUCUAGAAGCUGCACAACAGAUCCUAGAAGUGAAGGUAAGGAGGGACAGAGAAGCCAGAAAAUUAUGGCUGUUGACUGAACCCAUGUCUACUCCACCAGUAGCACACUUUCAGUUUAGUGUGCAGGGGGGAUCAUCUACAGUUGAGUUAGAUGAGAUGAUGCAUGUGUCUUAUGCAAGAGUAGUGGGAUGUCUUAUGGCUAGAAUCUUCAAAAGACCAGGUUUAACUCAAGGAUUGAGCAUUGUGUCAAAGUAUGUGGUGAAUCCGGGUAGACGAUACUGGCAAGCAGCAACGUGGAUUCUGUAUUACUUGAGAAACACAAAGGAACAUGAAUUUCUGUUUGAAAGACAACAAGAACAAGCAUGCAUUGCUGGUCAUGAGAGGUCAGAUUUGGCAGGAGACUUAGACAAAGGAAGAUCUGCAACAAGUAAUGUAUUUACUUGCAGCAAAGGUUCAGGAAGUUGUAGAACAACUAUGGAAUCAGCUGAGAUAUUGUCUACCACUGAAGUAGAUUGCAUGGCAGUAACAGAAGCUUCCGCAGAGGCGUUAUGGCUUAAUGGGUUAACGAGUGAGUUUGAGAUUCAACAAAAAACUGUGGUGAAGAAUGGUGUCAUCAAUUUGACAAGGAAUCAAGUGUUUCAAGCAGAGACGAAGCAUGUUGAUGUUCGUGGUCAUCGCAGCAAAGGUUGGGUCAGCUCAGGGAAGAUAACAACUGAGGAAGAAGCACAUUCAAGGGAGAAUGUUUCAGAUUGUUUUACCAGGACCAUUGCCAUAGAGAAGUUCAAGCAUUGCUUGGACUUCCUCAGUGUCACAGCUUGCUGAGUUGUGGUGGAGCACCUCCUCACUUGAGGUGCGUUAAGGCAAGAGGAGUCUUGCCAAGGUGAAGGCUCUUGGAGGUUUGUUCAGGGUUACUUCAAGAAGAUUCAAGAUAUCCUGAAGGGUGCAACAAUCAUUUGGUAUCAACUCACCAAGGUGGAGAUUGUUGUGUUUUGGCUCGUUGAUAUGAUUUGGAAGUUAGGAUUCAGCAAGCAAAUCCAAGUCCAGAAAGGAAAGAGGUUUUUUCUAUAAGUUCUAGGAAAGUAAUCUUUCAAGAUCUGUUAGGAUUUUGUCUACUAGGUUUAGGAGUCCUAAAACCUUAUUGUAUCAGCAGCCCCUAUUCACUAGAAAUAGGAGCUGCAGGGGGUUUUCUAAGGUUAAGAUAGAGAGCACAGAAAACCGAGAGCUAAGGGUGAUAGAGAGAUCUAGCAGGGAGUUGGGGAUUAGCAUAGGGAUUUCAAUAAGUACUUGUAAUCAGGUUGUUAUUCUCCAUAGUGCUAGUGAUCUCUCAAGAGAGAUCACAUAAGUGGACGUAGGCCAGGGUUUUGGCUGAACCACUAUAAAAUUGUGUGUGCUGUGUUUCUAUCUUCAAGUUCAUCUAUCUACUUUGCUUAAGUUGUAAAGUACCAGUAAAGACCAGAAAAGAUCCUAGGGCGCUAACCACAAUAGUAAGUGCAUUUAUAAAAUUUAUUGGAAUGAAAAGUAUGAAUCCAUGCCAUUGGGAUAUAGUCUUUGCCUUAAAAUGCAUGAAUCAUUUUGUUUUGUGCUUCCCACAAGAAAUACAUGGUGCAAAGACAAUUGAUUGAUUUAGGCUUCUGGUCAUAAUGUUGAUCGUACUAAAAGAGCAUAUGCUAUAGUAAUAUAGAAUUCAUUUACUAGUGAGGCAUGUUAUUAGCUAGCCUUUGGUUAUAAAAUUUGGUUGUUUUAUCAUUCUUUCAAUUUGACAG
rnacentral:lncRNA from 1 species